CCUCUCCACAUCAACAACUAGAAACUGAACAGAAUCCAUGAAGCACCUGUUUACAGACACUGAGGACCUCAGCCAAGGAUAGAAUCUUCAACUCAGAAGCACCAGUCCCUCUCAUUUGAGGAAAGGAUGAGAAGGAAGGAAUGGCCUGACUUCCUCAUGUAUGCCCUGAUUCUUGGUAGGCACCAUGUUGGGGCUGUCAUACAUGUGCCGAAGCUUUGGGAAUGUUCCAUUUAAACACCGAUUUCAAGGCCAAUGCCUUACAUGGAGCACAAAUAUCCAGGAGGAUCUUCCAAGUAAACUCCUUGCCUUUGACUCCCUGCCUUGGGCCCUCUUCAGAAGAUCCUCAGACCAGGACAGGAGUGUAGAGGCCAGGACCGCAACUACAAUUUUGUCAUGAACAGCAAACCUGGGUUGGUAGGCUGUGUGUUUGCAGAUGAUGAUGAUACUAAAGAAGUCUAUAGCAGUUCUCAGUGGCUGAAGCAUUCGGGAUGCAUGGUUUGUGGGGCACUCCAGGGAUGUCAUUUGAAGCCUGUGAACACGGAGCAGUCCUCCUGGUCAACUCAAAGACAGUUCCACAAGGCUUUUCUCCAUGUCACCACUGCUUAAACAUCUAGACUUCCUAUAAUCAGUGUGAGUAGUAAAAUAAAAAGAUACACUAGAUUGUCAUUGCUGGCCAAAAAAUCCAAAAUGGAUAAAACCAUUCAGAACUCUUGACUCAAGGACACACCUUACCAAAGUGACUGCCCG
rnacentral:lncRNA from 1 species